AAUGAACGUUGGCGGCGUGGAUUAGGCAUGCAAGUCGGACGCCCCGCAAGGGGAGUGGCGCAAGGGUGAGUAAGGCGAUGGUAACCAACCUCGCGGACGGGCAUAGCCGGGGGAAACCCCGGGUAAUUCCCGGCGACGCAGUGAGCCGGCAUCGGCUUAUCGCCAAAGGCUUCGGCCGCCGCGAGACGGGCCGUCGUGGUAUUAGGUCGGUGGUGGGGUGACGGCCCACCAAGCCUGCGAUGCCUACCGGGUGUGAGAGCAUGGCCCGGCACACUGGGACUGAGACACUGCCCAGACUCCUACGGGAGGCUGCAGUCGAGAAUCUUCGGCAAUGGGCGCAAGCCUGACCGAGCGACGCCGCGUGGAGGACGAAGGCCUUCGGGUUGUAAACUCCUGUCGAGGGGGAGGAAGGCGCAAGCUUGACCGAUCCCUGGAGGAAGCACGGGCUAAGUUCGUGCCAGCCGCCGCAGUAACAC
rnacentral:rRNA from 1 species